rnacentral:rRNA from 1 species
AGUGAACGCUGGCGGUAGGCCUAACACAUGCAAGUCGAACGGCAGCACAGUAAGAGCUUGCUCUUACGGGUGGCGAGUGGCGGACGGGUGAGGAAUACAUCGGAAUCUACUUUUUCGUGGGGGAUAACGUAGGGAAACUUACGCUAAUACCGCAUACGACCUACGGGUGAAAGCAGGGGAUCUUCGGACCUUGCGCGAUUGAAUGAGCCGCUGUCGGAUUAGCUAGUUGGCGGGGUAAAGGCCCACCAAGGCGACGAUCCGUAGCUGGUCUGAGAGGAUGAUCGGCCACACUGGAGCGGGACCACGGUCCAGACGCCUGCGGGAGGCAGCAGUGGGGAAUAUUGGACAAUGGUCGCAAGCCUGAUCCAGCCAUACCGCGUGGGUGAAGAAGGCCUUCGGGUUGUAAAGCCCUUUUGUUGGGAAAGAAAAGCAGCAGGUUAAUACCCCGCUGUUCUGACGGUACCCAAUGAAUAAGCACCGGCUAACUUCGUG